rnacentral:rRNA from 1 species
CAAGAGCGUAUGUAAAAGUUGUUGCAGUUAAAAAGCUCGUAGUUGAACCUUGGGUUUGGUUGGCCGGUCCGCUUUUUUGCGAGUACUGGAUUCAACCGAGCCUUUCCUUCUGUCUAACCAGUCGUUUCGGCGGCUGGCGAACCAGGAUUUUUACUUUGAGAAAAUUAGAGUGUUCAAAGCAGGCAUUAGCUUGAAUAUAUUAGCAUGGAAUAAUAGAAUAGGACGUUAUGGUUCUAUUUUGUUGGUUUCUAGGACCAUCGUAAUGAUUAAUAGGGACGGUCGGGGGCAUCAGUAUUCAGUUGUCAGAGGUGAAAUUCUUGGAUUUACUGAAGACUAACUACUGCGAAAGCAUUUGCCAAGGACGUUUUCAUUAA